AUCUACAACCAUACCAUCCUAAAUGUGCCGAUUUCAUCUGAUCUAGGAAGCUAAGCAGGGUUGGUCCUGGUUAAUCCUGGAUGAGAGACCACCUGGGAAUACCAGAUGCUGUACGCU
rnacentral:rRNA from 1 species